rnacentral:lncRNA from 1 species
GUUCAAUAUACCGCAGGGGGGUCAAAAUACCAUGGCUAAGUAAAAUUUUCAAAAAUAUCUUUUCCAGUAUAUUAAAUACAUACAAACUACUUAUUGGAGUAUUAUAACUAUGUUAAGGAGUUAGAAUAGCUUGAAUUUUUGAAAUUCAAGGUCUAUAGUAGGGGGUUCAAUAUACCGCAGGGGGGUCAAAAUACCAUGGCUAAGUAAAAUUUUCAAAAUAUCUUUUCCAGCAUAUUUAAUACAUACAAACUACUUAUUGGAGUAUUAUAACUAUGUUAAAAGAGUUAGAAAUGCUUGAAUUUUUGAAAUUCAAGGUCUAUAGUAG